rnacentral:rRNA from 1 species
UACGUAGGGGGCAAGCGUUGUCCGGAAUUACUGGGCGUAAAGGGCGCGUAGGCGGGAUGGCAAGUCGGUCGUGAAAUCCUUCGGCUCAACCGAAGAACGUCGAUCGAUACUGCUGUUCUUGAGGGUUGCAGAGGAGACUGGAAUUCCCGGUGUAGCGGUGAAAUGUGUAGAUAUCAUUUGGAACGCCAAUGGUGAAAACAGGUAGCUGGGAGUGUGCUGACACUGAGACACGAAAGCCAGGGGAGCGAACGGG